GACCUUUCCUUUUUCUUUUUUUGUUCUUCUUUUCUUUUCUAUUUUUCUUUUCGUUUCUUUUUUCAAGUGAAGUAUUUAUUUCUUGAAUCAGAAUUCUCAAGAUUAGGCAGGUUCUUGCCAUCCAUCUUGGUUAAUAUCGACGCUUUUUCAGAUAAGGCCUUCCACAUAAGGUCCUUUCCAAUUUAGCAUCCACUUUUUCUGAAGUCCUUUUGUAUGAGAAGGAUCUUUUUUGAUAUCAGGUCCCCC
rnacentral:lncRNA from 1 species